rnacentral:lncRNA from 1 species
GGAGAAGUGGGCAAAGGGAGGAAGAGAAGGUUCUGGAGGAAGGAGAAGAGAAGAAAUAGAGAAGAAAAAGAAAAGGGAAAGAAAAGAAAAAAGAAAAGAAAAGAAAAGAAAAGGAAAAGAAAAAAAUAGAAUAAAAUGCAUAAAUAAAUAGUGAAUAAGUGAUAGAAAAUUAAGAUAAAAAUAAAUAUUAAAAUAGAUGAAUAUAAUAAAUAAGAGACAGAGAGAAGUCACUUUGAGGAUAUACCUCUUCUCUCUCUACAAAAUUAGUAGUUUCUAGUCAAAUUAACCGACCAGACUUGAGAUUUAUUCAAGUCCAAUUUGGGGUUUUAAGUUAGAAUUAAUUAAAGAACAGUAUAUAAUUCGUUAUUAAUCAUUUGAUAGGUACUGAGCAUUCGUUGGCUAAGAUUAGGGUUUCGAGAGCGAACCGAGAUAAGUAACUCGGCACUUAUCUUAAAGUUUUCAAAUCACUGUUUAAUUAUAAUUAUAAAAUUAUAUUAUUAUGAUUUUUUUUAUAGCAUGGUGGAUGAGGC